rnacentral:tRNA from 24 species
GCGUCUAUAGCUCAGUAGGAUAGAGCAGCAGUUUCCUAAACUGCGUGUCACUGGUUCGAUUCCGGUUAGGCGCACCA